rnacentral:ncRNA from 2 species
CUGGGACCACACGACUGGCGCAGGUGGGCGACCACCGGGGAGUGAACCGCGCAGAGCAUCGACCGCCUGGGUGCUCGCC